rnacentral:rRNA from 1 species
CCUACGGGAGGCAGCAGUAGGGAAUCUUCCACAAUGGACGAAAGUCUGAUGGAGCAACGCCGCGUGAGUGAAGAAGGGUUUCGGCUCGUAAAGCGCUGUUGGGAGGGUAGAAAGGUAGAGGGAGUAACUGGCCAUUAUUUGACGGUAAUUACUUAGAAAGUCACGGCUAACUACGUGCCAGCAGCCGGGGUAAUACGUAGGUGGCAAGAGUUGUCCGGAUUGAGUGGGCGUAAAGAGAGUGCAGGCGGUUCAAUAAGUCUGAUUUGAAAGCCUUCGGCUCAACCGGAGAAUUGCAUCAGAAACUGUUGAACCUUAGUGCAGAAGAGGGCAGUGGAACUCCAUGUGUAGCGGUGGAAUGCGUAGAUAUAUGGAAGAACACCAGUGGCGAAGGCGGCUCUCUGGUCUGCAACUGACGCUGAGGCUCGAAAGCAUGGGUAGCGAACAGGAUUAGAUACCCGGGUAGUC